rnacentral:rRNA from 1 species
UACGUAGGGUGCAAGCGUUAAUCGGAAUUACUGGGCGUAAAGCGUGCGCAGGCGGUGAUGUAAGACAGAUGUGAAAUCCCCGGGCUCAACCUGGGAACUGCAUUUGUGACUGCAUCGCUGGAGUACGGCAGAGGGGGAUGGAAUUCCGCGUGUAGCAGUGAAAUGCGUAGAUAUGCGGAGGAACACCGAUGGCGAAGGCAAUCCCCCUGGGCCUGUACUGACGCUCAUGCA